rnacentral:rRNA from 1 species
AGUGAACGCUGGCGGUAGGCCUAACACAUGCAAGUCGAACGGCAGCACAGUAAAGACUUAGGUUUUUAUGGGUGGCGAGUGGCGGACGGGUGAGGAAUACAUCGGAAUCUACUUUUUCGUGGGGGAUAACGUAGGGAAACUUACGCUAAUACCGCAUACGACCUACGGGUGAAAGCAGGGGACCUUCGGGCCUUGCGCGAUUGAAUGAGCCGAUGUCGGAUUAGCUAGUGGGCGGGGUAAAGGCCCACCAAGGCGACGAUCCGUAGCUGGUCUGAGAGGAGGAGCAGCCACACUGGAACUGAGACACGGUCCAGACUCCUCUGGGAGGCAGCAGUGGGGAAUAUUGGACAAUGGGCGCAAGCCUGAUCCAGCCAUACCGCGUGGGUGAAGAAGGCCUUCGGGUUGUAAAGCCCUUUUGUUGGGAAAGAAAUCCAGCUGGCUAAUACCCGGUUGGGAUGACGGUACCCAAAGAAUAAGCACCGGCUAACUUCGUGCCAGCCGCCGCAGUAA